rnacentral:lncRNA from 1 species
ACCACUCACUCACUACAUCCUUAUUUCCAGCGUACCCCCACACCACACCCCCCCUCCCUUACGUACGCUUCCUAAUAAGAGACUUCACCUUUGCCUCCAUCAAUUCCUAGGAUAUACCUACCUCUUAACCUUUCCUAUGUAACCCAUCCAUCUAUCACAAAAUAUUUACAUUACUAUUUCAAAUAUACUCAUAUAUAGUAGUAUAUUAUUUGUGUAUAAAUUCAUCCUCUAGCUAUCACUUGCUCUCACUUUGUCUUCAUCUUUUAUUCUCUCUUUUCUUUUUGGUUUGAAAAGUGAACAAGAAAUUUAGUUGAAUAUAAUGAAGUUCUGCUGCUGUUUUGAGCCACGAGUGGUGUUUAUGCAUGGGAAGAGAAAGUUGAGGAGCUUGUUUUGGAGGGUUAGGGCUGAUUUUAAGAGGCAAAUAAUGAAGAACAAGAACAACAAAAAUUUCAACUAUGACCCUUUUAGUUAUUCACUCAACUUUGACGAUGGCAACUUUGGCUUCUUUUGUUGAACAAGCUGCUGUGUUACAUUGCUCCAUUUACAUCACAAUAUGUUAUGCUGAAAUUAAAUGAAAAACUAUAGCUAGCUACAUGGUCACUUUUUUUGUUUCUUUUUUUAUAAUAUUUUAUGGUUUUUGAUUAUGUAAUAUGUAGUCUUAAUUCCUUGUCAUGUUUGUGAUGAAUGAUGAUGUAUCAAACCAAAUUAAUGAGGAGAAUGAUAUUUAUGUUUUGAUAUCUUAUUCAGUUAUUUGUGUUAUGUUAAACAAGAAUGUCCUCGGUUCAAGCAGUGUUUUGAGAUUCUCACAU